rnacentral:rRNA from 1 species
GAUGAACGCUAGCGGCAGGCCUAACACAUGCAAGUCGAGGGGGAAGUUACUUUCGGGUGACUGAGACCGGCGUACGGGUGCGUAACGCGUAUACAAUCUGCCUUUCACUGGGGGAUAGCCCGAAGAAAUUUGGAUUAAUACCCCAUAGUAUAUAGGGACGGCAUCGUUUUUAUAUUAAAGCUUAGGUGGUGAAAGAUGAGUAUGCGUUCUAUUAGCUAGUUGGAGAGGUAACGGCUCCCCAAGGCGAUGAUAGAUAGGGGUUCUGAGAGGGAUGUCCCCCACACUGGUACUGAGAUACGGACCAGACUCCUACGGGAGGCAGCAGUGAGGAAUAUUGGACAAUGGUCGGAAGACUGAUCCAGCCAUGCCGCGUGCAGGAUGAAGGUCUUAUGGAUUGUAAACUGCUUUUGUAAGGGAAGAAUAAGGGCUACGCGUAGUUUGAUGACGGUACCCUACGAAUAAGCAUCGGCUAACUCCGUG